rnacentral:lncRNA from 1 species
AGGGAAAUAUACUAAAAGAAGUGGAAUACCAUAGAAAGGGAGGGAAAUGGUGAUAUUAGGGGGGGGGGGAAUUAGGGGAAAUAGGGUAUGGGGUACAAAUAUAGGAAACAUGGUGGGUAGGGAGUACAAAUACUCUUUUCAUUUUCCCUGCCAUCAUUGAUUUGUUUUAGAUGCAUUUUCUGAUUAAAUAGCUAUACGUGUGUUAUAAUACCGUUGUGUUAU